rnacentral:rRNA from 1 species
AACGUAGGAGACAAACGUUAUCCGGAGUUACUGGGCGUAAAGGGCGUGUAGGUGGUUGCGUAAGUCUGGCGUGAAAUUUUUCGGCUUAACCGGGAAAGGUCGUCGGAUACUGCGUAGCUAGAGGACGGUAGAGGCGUGUGGAAUUCCGGGUGUAGUGGUGAAAUGCGUAGAGAUCCGGAGGAACACCAGUGGCGAAGGCGACACGCUGGGCCGUACCUGACACUCAAGUGCGAAAGCGUGGGGAGCAAACAGG